CAAUGGGCCAUCCCGUGUUAUAGAUUGUGAUUAAUGAAGCAAAGUCACACCAGACCUGAACCAGUUUUGCGACAGUUGAGAGACCUUCACAUAGGGGCACCUGCUUUGUCGCCACUGGGGUCUGCGAGGAGAAUACAGAGAAGCACCACGUCACAACAAGCAAAUGUCACUUUCCAAUAAUAUAGCAAGUUGAAGUAAGCCAUCCCACAAAUAAAUGUAGUAAAACAAACCAUCGAAUUUCAGUUCGGUUUCCUAGCAUAUCUGAACCUUGUAUAUUUGUCCCUUUAUUUAGAUAAAUGUAAGCAGUCUUCUUUUUGUGUAGGGGGAGGCUGUGAGGAAGCUAUAACAUGCUCCAUUGGUUUAUCCAGAACUCCAAGCAUGGGGCUGCCCUUCCACAGUCCGAGCAACAACUGGGCGGUUGAUCAUCCAAUACUACUUGCAUUUCCACAUGCUGGAGUACGCUGGAGGACGUACUUAUAUCCGUCCACAUGCAAGGAGUCUUUUCCUUUCCGAGUUUGGAUGAAUUGGCCAUCCAUCUUGCCACUUCAGAAUCUUUGCACCAAACAUCUCUGUGUUGCGUGUGCGUGCGGGCGAAGCGAACACGUGCAAAUUUUAUUUUGUAUGGUGCAAUGAUACAAGAAGCGUAAAGUGAGAAAUAAAUAUAUUUUCAGAAAUGCA